GCCUCUUUAGCUUGCCAAGAUGUGAUUCUCAGCCCUGUGGGAAGAACUAUGAAUCAGAGUUCCUUGGUUUCAACAGGUAAUCAAAGGAAAAACUUUGCUUAUUUAAAGUACUUCACAACUACAUAGCAUCUGAUCAACAUCUUUGAUGCCUGGCUUUGGGUGGAGAGUGAAAUUUUAAGUCUCACUUGCUAUUAAAAUCAAAGAAUAAAUUUGUAGAUGGAAAGUUACCCCUGCCUUCCACAGCCUUCUUGGUAACCUUUCAAUUACUAUGACAAUUGUAAACAAACAACUUGAAACAAAUGGUCAAAUCAACAAGACCAGGGGAUUUCCCCGAUCUCCACAAUCUUUCAAAGGUGAUGGAGAAAGGCCAGUUCACUGGGCAAAAUGAGGCCAAUUCAUCAAUCAGUUAUCUCAGCACCUCUGGAUGUCUUCCAUCUAUCUGGACCUGCAGACUGGU
rnacentral:lncRNA from 1 species